UGAGGAAUAUUGGUCAAUGGGCGAGAGCCUGAACCAGCCAAGUAGCGUGCAGGAUGACGGCCCUACGGGUUGUAAACUGCUUUUAUGAAGGAAUAAAGUCACCCACGUGUGGGUGUUUGCAUGUACUUUAUGAAUAAGGACCGGCUAAUUCCGUGCCAGCAGCCGCGGUAAUACGGAAGGUCCGGGCGUUAUCCGGAUUUAUUGGGUUUAAAGGGAGCGUAGGCCGCCUGGUAAGCGUGUUGUGAAAUGUAGGUGCUCAACAUCUGCACUGCAGCGCGAACUGGUUUCCUUGAGUACGCACAAAGUGGGCGGAAUUCGUGGUGUAGCGGUGAAAUGCUUAGAUAUCACGAAGAACUCCGAUUGCGAAGGCAGCUCACUGGAGCGCAACUGACGCUGAAGCUCGAAAGUGCGGGUAUCGAACAGGAUUAGAUACCCUGGUAGU
rnacentral:rRNA from 1 species